AGGUAACGGUUUACUGGUGCCUGGCAGCGACUCACCUGCCCGUGGCCUGCCACAGGUGGAGGGGCUGCUCCAGCCCUGCCAGACCCAAUGUGCUGUAGGCCUCGGUGGGAGCCAGGAGCCCCACAGACUGUGGGCUGCUCCAGCUGGACUGGAAUGGUCCCCUGCCUGGGAUCCCGCUUAAUCAGUUAAAGCUAAUGUUUUACCAGUUAACUGAUUAAACGGGAAUUUAUAUCCCUACAACUGACUUGCCCUUUUUACAGAGUAUUUUUCAAAUAUAUCUCUGACAAAACUUCAGGAAAUAUCAAAAACCCUGUGACUGACAUUUUUAUUCCCAAAUGUAAUGCAUUUAAUUAAGUACCUUCUGCAUGUCCAGUCUUCACAAUCUGACAUGCUGUAGACAACAUGCUUCAUUGUCUUUAGAAAGACAGUUUAGAAGAAAGGUGGUGGGUUUUUCCCCCAAAUGCCAUAUGCUACAUUUGAGUUCAGAGAUUUGGCUGGAAUGGAUGAGUGGAGAAAAGAGGGAGACUGUGCGGAGGAAUGGAGCAUUGGGCCUGGGGGAGAGAGGACUGGGCAGAUAGGGGUGGAGGAUGGGCAGGACCACAGGCUGGGGCACUUGACAUCCCAAGCAGCAACUGCCCAUGUUCCCAGACUUUCUUUUGAAAGUCUUGUGCAGGUUUCCUUUGAGGAUGAAGACUGAGAGGUCAGAUCUUGGGGAACACCCAUUCACCCUGCUAGACCAAUAGAUGAGACAAAUGCAGACAUAUCUCCACUGCUAUAAUGAUCUGUCACGCCCCCCACAAUACAGCUUUCAAGAUCCUGGAUCCUACACAUGCCUAUCACAUGUGAUGCAUCUCAGCCAGUGCACUAAAUGCCCCAAUAACAGCUAUGUGGGUGAAAACAGACAAUCACUGUUCUCUUGAAUGAACUCCCAUAAGAAAAUGAUAGAAGACAAAAAAAACCUGUUAUCUGUGAGUGAACACUUUCCAGAAGGCAGCUGCUCUAUAUCUGACCUCUCCAUCCUCCUCCUCACAGGAAACCUGCACAAUUACCUUCAAAAGAAAGCUUGGGAAUUUAAACUCAUUACUCUGCUUAACCCUAAAAAUCACGGCCUGAAGAGAGACACUGGGUUUAUGGCUUAUUACAACACCCUGUAACCUACUAACACCCUCUUUUUGUUGUAUGACUGCAGAGAAUGCAAUAGGCCAAUCUACCAUAUGCUAACUAUGUUGGUACAAUCUGUUCCACCUUGCAUUUUGCAAUGAUGUUCAGAGUAACCUUUCCCUGCUCUGAAAAAAAGAACACUGUGGCAGGAAACUUGUCUCUCUCUCUCACCAAUAGAAAUUGGUUCAAUAAAAGAUACUACCUGGCCCACCUUCUCUGUCGAAUAUCUGGAACCAACACAGCUACAACUACACUGAGUGCAGUAAUGUACAAAGCCUGGUUCCCAUCAAUUGCUGCAAUCAUGUGUCUAUGCUGCAGUACUAAGGAAGAGACAGGAGAGGGCACUGUUUCACUUUAAUCAAUGACAGCUUCUUGCUAUUUUCUUCAUGGCCCUCAGUGUCAGGGACCUUAAUGGAAAGGGAUGAAAAAUUCCAUCAACAUUUACUAAAGGAAUCACAGUUUGGUUUGUAGUGUUACUUUUGGAAGUAAUCACUGCCAUUGCAGAGAAGAAGGAAUAUUUGAAAAAGUGGGCUGGUUAUUUACCCAAUGGGAAAUGUUCUGCCUUUAACCGAAUGCUAAAAUACAGGCCUUUGACAUAACUUAGAUCUCAUUUGAUUCCAAACUUCCAGCUCAACAUCAGAAACUGCCACAAUAUUUGGUCAGAACAAACGCCUGAGGUUGGCUUCUCUUUGUGAGGAUGCACUUACUGUCCUUAUCAGGGCUAUCCUCGAGAAAUCCAUGACUUACCCAAAAGGCUCCAAAAUCGCCUCAGAAAGAAAGUAGCAGUAGGUUUUUUUGUGCAUAUAUAGCAUUGCUGUCUUCCCCAUUUAGUCUUCACAAUUCUCAUAAUCAAAACAUAUCAGUCUGUGAUAUGUUCUCCGCUUGCAGAAAAUGAAAUUAUCAGGAUAGGAAAAUAAAUUGCUUUGACAGGCCUACUAGAAAUCAGCUGAGUCUUGAAAACUAGGGCUGUAUGAGACACAGAGAGAGAGAGAGAGAAUGAGGGAAAGUGAUUUCAGACACUGCUUUUUCUCUAAUAGCCACAGUAGGGUGUGUGCAUUAAUGGAGGAGCUGGGGAUGAAAAAGACCAUCACAGAAUAAGGGGCCAGUGUAGACGUAGCCCUUGUGUGGUGUGGAAACUGAGAGUCGAAACUCAGUGUUUGCCGGUUUUAAGUUAAAUGAGUUGAAUAUUCUUCUAUACCCACUGGACUGUGUCAAAUCCAUAGGUCAUGAUCAAAGACGUAGUAAUAUAAUUAAAGCUCAUUUGGGAAGCAGAGAUGUUGUUUGAGUCCAAAAAAGCCACAGAUUAAAUGGGUUGCAGGAUAGUAACAUUCACUGAAACAUUCUCACUGCAGAAAGUCACCUCCCUUCCCCAAGUUUGGAGCUGUGAGAUUUACUGCAGGGAUUGAAAAUGAUCGAUGCGUAGUGCUACGCAGGUGAAUCUCAGAACUGCCAUAAUUCGCUCAGAAAUGUUCUUAAUCUUUGUAGCUAACCCACCCCGCCCCUCCCAAGUCAAAUAAACUUGGUUUGCUUUCCAGCUACUGGAAAUGGAGUGCCACUGAUAAGCACACUCACCAUGUGUGGGACUGAUGAAGGAGGAGUGGAUUGAAUCAGACAGGAUCAGUCAAUGCCCUUAUUCAUAUCUGGAUAAGGCGGUACUUCCACUGUGAUGUGAUGGGAGUAUGUUGUGUGUUUCAGAGUUGGACCCAGGAUGAUUAGCCUCUCAGAGCUGCCCGCAGGCGCCUUUUCAGUAAUGUCUUGUUCCUUGAGGUUGGUCGUGACUUGUUAGGAGAAUUGUGAUUUAAAACUCAGUUAGAGUUAAUCAUUGGCCUCGGUGUUUACAGCCCUGGAUUUGGAGGCCUGAAGCAGAAGUGCAGCAUUUUAUAGCAAAGGACUCUUUGCGUAUCUCUGUUUCUCCAGCAGGCUGGCUGCUCUGCACACUCAGCCAGGCUCUGCCUCAUGUUUGAGCCCAAGACCCUCCCUUCCGUCCACACACAAAUCAGUCCGACUCAGGUCAGCAAGACCUUAGGGCCCAGGCCGUUGGCCCCUGUUGCUGAGGGUGGGCCAGAGGCCAAAUCCUGAUGUAACUCAGGUCCAAGCCCUUUCUUUUUACAAUGUGUGUGCAGGUCGGGCCGCCAUCCCAAGUCAGGUGGUCUGAGUAGCGUAAUAUGGAUGCAGUAGCUUAGCUGUGAGACCUGGGCCCAAGCGUCUAAGGGGACCCCAGAUCUGGAGCUACAGCCUGAGCCCGAACAUCUACACCACAAUUAAACAGCCCCCAUCGCCCGAUUCCUAAGAGCCCACGUCAGCAGACAUGAACCAGCCAUGGGUUUUUAAUGGCUGGGGCAACACACCCUUCAGAUUCACAAGCCAAAAUUCCACAAACCCAGGCUUCAUGCGCAGAGCAGCUUCACUUUAAGGGAUCUAAACCAAAUGUGGAAAUGACAUCUUCCUAGUAAUGUGACUGGUGCAGGUGUGGUAUGUUUGCACUGGACCUAGUGUAUUGUAUACAUUAAGCCUAUGAAAAACAGGUUGUGCUGUGCUCUCUGUCUGUUCAGCAUGAGGUCUCAGGUAGCAGGAAGGCACAAGAAGACUGUACACUGAGUACAUAGCCACACACUUGUUACCCUUCAAACGGAGAGUUAGUCUUUUGAUGUGUCUGCUGUCAGCUUAGGAGGUAGAACCCAUGUUUCACAGCUCGUUUCAGAAUUAGUCUCUUUUUACUGUACUGUGGUAAUUGGAUCCUGCAUUUACUUGGGGGUUUUUUCCUUCAGGAUUUGACCUGGUUUUUGUUCCACGCCUGUUGUUAGUCUCACUUCCACCACUCCCUUCUUUUAUAUGAAAAA